AUUAAACGCUGGCGGCAUGCCUUACACAUGCAAGUCGAACGGCAGCACGGGGGCAACCCUGGUGGCGAGUGGCGGACGGGUGAGUAAUGCAUCGGAACGUGCCCUGAAGUGGGGGAUAACGCAGCGAAAGCUACGCUAAUACCGCAUAUUCUGUGAGCAGGAAAGCAGGGGAUCGCAAGACCUUGCGCUUUGGGAGCGGCCGAUGUCGGAUUAGCUAGUUGGUGGGGUAAAGGCCUACCAAGGCGACGAUCCGUAGCGGGUCUGAGAGGAUGAUCCGCCACACUGGGACUGAGACACGGCCCAGACUCCUACGGGAGGCAGCAGUGGGGAAUUUUGGACAAUGGGCGGAAGCCUGAUCCAGCCAUGCCGCGUGAGUGAAGAAGGCCUUCGGGUUGUAAAGCUCUUUCGGCGGGGAAGAAAUUGCUUGGGUUAAUACCCUGAGUAGAUGACGGUACCCGAAUAAGAAGCACCGGCUAACUACGUG
rnacentral:rRNA from 1 species